rnacentral:lncRNA from 1 species
AAAGAGGAAUGGACAGAGUUGAAGCUGAGUUCUUCCAGCUGGUCCACAAACAAGUUGUCUGGGCCAAUUAUCGUUUCAAGUUUCGCCAUCCUGUGCUAGAGCUAGAGGAUUCCCAGUGCCCUUUCUAGAACAUAGGUCCCAUUUUCGGUUUUUGGUUUUGAUAAGUCUAAUGUAGCUGAGGCUAACCUAGAUCUAGUGUGGCUGAGGAUGCAGUCAAACUUCUGGUCCUCCUGCCCUACAUUCUAAGAGCUAGGAUUAAUUACAAGCUAGGCAGGCAGUCUACCAACUGAACUACAUUCCCGCACACAGACUCACCUUUAUCUGUUUUCUGAGAGUCUCACUAUGUAGCCAAGAUUGGUCUAAAUUCUCAGUCCUCUUGCCUCAGGCCCUAGGAGCUGUCGUUACAGGCAUCCGCCCUGAUGCCUGUCUCCUGAGUGCAUUUUUAAAAGAACCGUUUGAACACGGAUGAAAUUUUUAGUUUCACUUUUUUGGUGGGGGAUGUGGGGGGAUGCAGGGGUUUGAAACAGGGUUUCUCUGUGUAGCCCUAGCUGUCCUGAAACUCACAAGAGAUCCCCCUGCCUCUGCUGAGCUGAGAUUAAAGGUUGAGCUCACUCAGGGCUAUUUCCAGCCUGAACUGGCCCAGUGGAAUCCACCCCUUCCUGUUUGUAAG